rnacentral:lncRNA from 1 species
AAAAACCUUCACUUUGGGCUAUUCCCAGAAGAUAAGGGACUAGCUCUCUAAACUAGAGAUAGUAGGCAGACACUGUCCAGAGUUAUACCUUGCUAACUCUUCCCAGCUGAAGGGGAACGAAUAUAUGUAUCUGAGAGAUGAAUUUGGGAGGAUAUGAAGGGGACUGCAAACUGGUGAAAACACAGCUCUCACUGUGAUGGAAGGGGCCUAUUGUUUUGGGGACAUCUGAACAUAUGGCAUACCCAUUUCUGGG